GUCCAGGGAUGGGAAUCGAACCCACAGUGUUCCGCUUACUGGGCAGAUUACAUGUCCACUAGGCUACCCUGGA
rnacentral:tRNA from 1 species